AGAGUUUGAUCCUGGCUCAGAAUGAACGCUGGCGGCGUGCCUAACACAUGCAAGUCGGAUGUGCCGCAAGGUGCAUGGCAGACGGGUGAGUAACGCGUAGGGAAUCUACCUUUUUGUGGGGAAUAACGCUCCGAAAGGAGUGGUAAUACCGCAUGAGACCGUGGCCUGGGAUGGUUACGGUGAAACCUGGGGACCGCAAGGCCUGGGGCAAAGAGAGGAUCCUGCGUCUGAUUAGCUAGUUGGCGGGGUAAUGGCCCACCAAGGCGACGAUCAGUAGCCGGCCUGAGAGGGUGAUCGGCCACACUGGAACUGAGACACGGUCCAGACUCCUACGGGAGGCAGCAGUGGGGAAUUUUGCGCAAUGGACGAAAGUCUGACGCAGCAACGCCGCGUGGGUGAUGAAGGUCUUCGGACUGUAAAACCCUGUCGUCAGGGACGAAGGUUGAGGGGUUAAUAACCCUUCAGCUUGACGGUACCUGGAGAGGAAGCCCCGGCUAACUCUGUGCCAGCAGCCGCGGUAAUACAGAGGGGGCAAGCGUUAUUCGGAAUUAUUGGGCGUAAAGGGUGCGUAGGCGGUCGUUUAAGUAGGAUGUGUAAUCCCCGGGCUUAACCUGGGAACUGCAUCCUAGACUGGACGACUUGAGUACUGGAGAGGGUGGUAGAAUUCCACGUGUAGCGGUGAAAUGCGUAGAGAUGUGGAGGAAUACCAGUGGCGAAGGCGGCCACCUGGACAGUAACUGACGCUGAGGCACGAAAGUGUGGGUAGCAAACAGGAUUAGAUACCCUGGUAGUCC
rnacentral:rRNA from 1 species